AUUGAACGCUGGCGGCAGGCCUAACACAUGCAAGUCGAGCGGAAACGAGUUAUCUGAACCUUCGGGGAACGAUAACGGCGUCGAGCGGCGGACGGGUGAGUAAUGCCUAGGAAAUUGCCCUGAUGUGGGGGAUAACCAUUGGAAACGAUGGCUAAUACCGCAUGAUGCCUACGGGCCAAAGAGGGGGACCUUCGGGCCUCUCGCGUCAGGAUAUGCCUAGGUGGGAUUAGCUAGUUGGUGAGGUAAGGGCUCACCAAGGCACGAUCCCUAGCUGGUCUGAGAGGAUGAUCAGCCACACUGGAACUGAGACACGGUCCAGACUCCUACGGGAGGCAGCAGUGGGGAAUAUUGCACAAUGGGCGCAAGCCUGAUGCAGCCAUGCCGCGUGUGUGAAGAAGGCCUUCGGGUUGUAAAGCACUUUCAGUCGUGAGGAAGGUAGUGUAGUUAAUAGCUGCAUUAUUUGACGUUAGCGACAGAAGAAGCACCGGCUAACUCCGUGCCAGCAGCCGCGGUAAUACGGAGGGUGCGAGCGUUAAUCGGAAUUACUGGGCGUAAAGCGCAUGCAGGUGGUUUGUUAAGUCAGAUGUGAAAGCCCGGGGCUCAACCUCGGAAUAGCAUUUGAAACUGGCAGACUAGAGUACUGUAGAGGGGGGUAGAAUUUCAGGUGUAGCGGUGAAAUGCGUAGAGAUCUGAAGGAAUACCGGUGGCGAAGGCGGCCCCCUGGACAGAUACUGACACUCAGAUGCGAAAGCGUGGGGAGCAAACAGGAUUAGAUACCCUGGUAGUCCACGCCGUAAACGAUGUCUACUUGGAGGUUGUGGCCUUGAGCCGUGGCUUUCGGAGCUAACGCGUUAAGUAGACCGCCUGGGGAGUACGGUCGCAAGAUUAAAACUCAAAUGAAUUGACGGGGGCCCGCACAAGCGGUGGAGCAUGUGGUUUAAUUCGAUGCAACGCGAAGAACCUUACCUACUCUUGACAUCCAGAGAACUUUCCAGAGAUGGAUUGGUGCCUUCGGGAACUCUGAGACAGGUGCUGCAUGGCUGUCGUCAGCUCGUGUUGUGAAAUGUUGGGUUAAGUCCCGCAACGAGCGCAACCCUUAUCCUUGUUUGCCAGCGAGUAAUGUCGGGAACUCCAGGGAGACUGCCGGUGAUAAACCGGAGGAAGGUGGGGACGACGUCAAGUCAUCAUGGCCCUUACGAGUAGGGCUACACACGUGCUACAAUGGCGCAUACAGAGGGCGGCCAACUUGCGAAAGUGAGCGAAUCCCAAAAAGUGCGUCGUAGUCCGGAUUGGAGUCUGCAACUCGACUCCAUGAAGUCGGAAUCGCUAGUAAUCGUGGAUCAGAAUGCCACGGUGAAUACGUUCCCGGGCCUUGUACACACCGCCCGUCACACCAUGGGAGUGGGCUGCAAAAGAAGUAGGUAGUUUAACCUUCGGGGGGACGCUUACCACUUUGUGGUUCAUGACUGGGGUG
rnacentral:rRNA from 1 species